AACAACCUUUUACUUUCAUUCUUAUUUUACUUUGGCCAGCCAAUUAACAAUAAAUCCGAAAUAGCGUAUUAAAGGUGAUAAAAUAUGAAUUCCACUUCGAUAAGUAAUCUAAAAAAAAUAUAGCUCA